rnacentral:rRNA from 1 species
GAACCUUCGGGGAACGAUAACGGCGUCGAGCGGCGGACGGGUGAGUAAUGCCUAGGAAAUUGCCCUGAUGUGGGGGAUAACCAUUGGAAACGAUGGCUAAUACCGCAUAAUGCCUACGGGCCAAAGAGGGGGACCUUCGGGCCUCUCGCGUCAGGAUAUGCCUAGGUGGGAUUAGCUAGUUGGUGAGGUAAUGGCUCACCAAGGCGACGAUCCCUAGCUGGUCUGAGAGGAUGAUCAGCCACACUGGAACUGAGACACGGUCCAGACUCCUACGGGAGGCAGCAGUGGGGAAUAUUGCACAAUGGGCGCAAGCCUGAUGCAGCCAUGCCGCGUGUGUGAAGAAGGCCUUCGGGUUGUAAAGCACUUUCAGUCGUGAGGAAGGUAGUGUAGUUAAUAGCUGCAUUAUUUGACGUUAGCGACAGAAGAAGCACCGGCUAACUCCGUGCCAGCAGCCGCGGUAAUACGGAGGGUGCGAGCGUUAAUCGGAAUUACUGGGCGUA